rnacentral:rRNA from 1 species
AGUUGGGUGACGGCGUGCCUUUUGCAUAAUGAGCCUACGAGUUGCCCUUACUAGCGAGGUUAAGGACUUCAGGUCCGGAGCCGCAGCGAAAGCGAGUCUUAACAGGGCGCUUUAGUUAGUAGGGGCAGACGCGAAACCGUGCGAUCUACCCAUGGGCAGGCUGAAGCUGUGGUAACACAUAGUGGAGGGCCGAACCCGUUGACGUUGAAAAGUCUUGGGAUGACCUGUGGGUAGGGGUGAAAGGCCAAUCAAGCUCGGAAAUAGCUCGUACUCCCCGAAAUGCAUUUAGGUGCAGCGUUGCAUGGUUCUUACUGGAGGUAGAGCUACUGGAUGGCCAAUGGGCCCUACAAGGUUACUGACGUCAGCCAAACUCCGAAUGCCGGUAAGUCAACAGUGUGGCAGUGAGACGGCGGGGGAUAAGCUCCGUGCGUCGAGAGGGAAACAGCCCAGAUCGCCGACUAAGGCCCCUAAGCGUGUGCUAAGUGGAAAAGGAUGUGCAGUCGCGAAGACAACCAGGAGGUUGGCUUAGAAGCAGCCACCCUUGAAAGAGUGCGUAAUAGCUCACUGG